rnacentral:rRNA from 1 species
CCUACGGGGGGCAGCAGUCGGGAAUAUUGCGCAAUGGAGGAAACUCUGACGCAGUGACGCCGCGUGCAGGAAGAAGAUUUUCGGAUUGUAAACUGCUUUAGACAGGGAAGAAACAAGACAGUACCUGUAGAAUAAGCUCCGGCUAACUACGUGCCAGCAGCCGCGGUAAUACGUAGGGAGCAAGCGUUAUCCGGAUUUACUGGGUGUAAAGGGAGCGUAGACGGCCAUGCAAGCUCGGUGUGAAAGGUGCGGGCACAACCCGCAGACUGCACUGAGAACUGUAUGGCUGGAGUGCCAGAGGGGCG